CAUGAAGUCUAAGUAAAUCAAACUUAAGUUUUGUGAGGAAUGCCAGUAUUCAAAGAUGGUUUAUGACUACAGGAAAGCAAACAGCUCGCUUGGCGACUUUAUGUUUCAGGAUUUUUCUGCACUUAAAUAAUUUGCCAGCUUGCAAACAUCCAGAUCUAGUAUUACCUUUGAUAAUGUUAGAAAAAGUGAUACGUUAAGCAUAACCUGCUGCUGUAUGACACAUGCUAAAAAGAUUGACUAGCUCUGUCUUUCUUGUACUUAUGUGUGUUCGGAUCCCUGUAUGAUAUUUAAUAUUUAUAUUUUUUUUGUAUGUGUGUACACUUCAGAAUGACAAAGCCAAAAAUUCAGGCCUUGCCCAAGCUGCCAAGUCCGUCAGCAGGCCAACCGCAAAACAUGCAGUGCUUGUUUUGCCACACUGCCAAGCAAGCGGUUAUUAAAAACUGCAAAAAUUAAUGAUGACUGGGGCCAGAGGGUCGUCAAAAACAAAAAUGCAUCUCGGGUGGUGGCCUCUGCCCAAAUAGCUGUCCAAAAACUUUCUGCCUUGGGCUAUAUGCCCAUAUUAUUUAUCAGCCAGAGGCACAAGGGCACAGGCAAGUUGAUGGCAGAUGUAGUCACGCAUCUGCCACCGACGCAAAACAACACACGUUUCUUAACCAGCAUGAAGAGGGCAUAUGACUUCAUAAUCAAACUGGAUGGCUCAGCAGCAUGUGGAGCCUCUACCACCCAGGAAAAGACAAACCCCACUAUCCACCCCGGGCCUACCAUCCACCCCAGGCCAAGGCAAAGCGAGCCCCACCAUCCAUCCAACCUCAACUAAAGAAAAA
ensembl:lncRNA